GAUGAACGCUGGCGGCGUGCCUAAUACAUGCAAGUCGAGCGAACAGACGAGGAGCUUGCUCCUCUGACGUUAGCGGCGGACGGGUGAGUAACACGUGGAUAACCUACCUAUAAGACUGGGAUAACUUCGGGAAACCGGAGCUAAUACCGGAUAAUAUAUUGAACCGCAUGGUUCAAUAGUGAAAGACGGUUUUGCUGUCACUUAUAGAUGGAUCCGCGCCGCAUUAGCUAGUUGGUAAGGUAACGGCUUACCAAGGCAACGAUGCGUAGCCGACCUGAGAGGGUGAUCGGCCACACUGGAACUGAGACACGGUCCAGACUCCUACGGGGGGCAGCAGUAGGGAAUCUUCCGCAAUGGGCGAAAGCUUGACGGAGCAACGCCGCGUGAGUGAUGAAGGUCUUCGGAUCGUAGAACUCUGUUAUUAGGGAAGAACAAAUGUGUAAGUAACUAUGCACGUCUUGACGGUACCUAAUCAGAAAGCCACGGCUAACUACGUG
rnacentral:rRNA from 1 species